rnacentral:rRNA from 1 species
UACGUAGGGUGCGAGCGUUGUCCGGAAUUAUUGGGCGUAAAGGGCUCGUAGGCGGUUUGUCGCGUCGGGAGUGAAAUCCAUGGGCUUAACUUAUGGCUUGCUUUCGAUACGGGCAGACUAGAGGUAUGCAGGGGAGAACGGAAUUCCUGGUGUAGCGGUGAAAUGCGCAGAUAUCAGGAGGAACACCGGUGGCGAAGGCGGUUCUCUGGGCAUGAUCUGACGCUGAGGAGCGAAAGUGUGGGGAGCGAACAGG